rnacentral:rRNA from 1 species
UACGUAGGGUGCAAGCGUUAUCCGGAUUUAUUGGGCGUAAAGGGCUCGUAGGCGGUUCGUCGCGUCCGGUGUGAAAGUCCAUCGCUUAACGGUGGAUCCGCGCUGGGUACGAGCGGGCUUGAGUGCGGUAGGGGAGACUGGAAUUCCCGGUGUAACGGUGGAAUGUGUAGAUAUCGGGAAGAACACCAAUGGCGAAGGCAGGUCUCUGGGCCGUUACUGACGCUGAGGAGCGAAAGCGUGGGGAGCGAACAGG